CCCAAGGCUCACGCCCUGGGCUAUUACACGUCGCUCCUUCAGAGCU
rnacentral:ncRNA from 2 species